UGUUUGUUCCGUCCCAAGCUCAAGCUCAGCCACUCCAAAGCUCCAACACCAUCAGGUUGGUCUCUUGCUUCUUCUAAUUCUGCUUCUUCAUCUAAUUCUGCUUCUUCUUCUUCAUUUGAUUCAUCUUGUCCUUUGUUCUCUUUAAAUGAUUCAAUUUGUUCUCCUUGAAAAAUCAUCGCAAACACCAGAUUUCCAAAUUAGUAGAGCUAGAGAUGAUGAUAUUGAACUAUAAAAUGGACAGGAAUAGGAUUGCUUAGCUGAUUCUUUGUCUAACCUUAAAACUACUACUACUACUGCAACUGCUAAAAGCUUUGGUGGUAACAAAUUUUUUAUUCUUGGUUUUUCCCAGAUGAAGAAAUGCUGAGAAAAACUAUAAGGAUGUAAGUGCAAGUUUUUGGUAUAUAUGUUUUUUUUGCAUUUCUUAUCUUCUCAUUCUCUUCCGACCAUUAGUGGUCCAGUGGACAAUGCUUAUGUCAUCUCUACUGUUUCCCUUUCAAACUAAAGGAUUCCCCACUUCCAUCAAUCUUUCCCAUCCCUAAUUUCUCAAACUAUACCACCUUUUUUUUUUUAACGUUCGAGAUGCUUUCAGAUAAUCAGAUAUUCAACUCCUUUGAUUAGAUUAUUUAUCUCGACCGAAUCAUUAUCGGUUAAUCUAGACAUCUUUGAAGUGUUAGGUUCACAUCAUGGUCACUAACUUAAUUUCUUUAGGAUAUUGAAUAUUCUAUUGAAAGUUUCUACGCCAAAUGUUUGAAAUUAGAUAGUUUUCUUGUGAGAUUAAAUGCCAAAAUGUUAUAAUUCUUUAGAUGUUUGCGAUUACGAUGAUGAAAAAAAAAAGGACGGUCAAAGUUUGAAUUUGAAAUCACUUCAAUUAUUUGCUUCAACCCCACAAAAGAGAAAUGGUUUGAUGUAUUGAAAGAAAGAUUGGUCAAAAUCCAAACUCAAGAUAAUGUUGAUUUUCUUGUCUUUGUAUUGCUACCUUCAUAGCCACAGCUUUAGGAGCAAAUAUACCAACCUUACACAAAAACUACUUUUAGGGAAGUUUGUGAAAAAUACAUGAUUGAAAUUCGUACAAAACCACAACAAUCAAUAUCAGUCUCAAUCUAACAGUCUAACAAUCUAUUUGAAUUGUCCCUCCAAGGCAACGAAGGAGUGCUUCUUAUCACACAUGUAAAACGAAUCACUUUUAGAAAUUACUUUUCUAGGAUUCUUUUAAGGCUGAUGCGUGUAAUACAUAUCUAAAACCCGAGUAUUAAUUUCUUUUUCUUCUUAAAGAAAGUUGGUUUUGUGAGAAGAAGCAUCAGACAAAGCAGAUAAUAGUGGUUUGAACAUCAUUACUUGAUAGAUUGGGUUUGCAGUCUGACCUAAUUGUACAUGAUUGGGAUAAUUAUGAGUCUAGUUUUAUUAUAUAUCUGAUUAUUUAUUUUCCCCUAACUUUUUAUUUGCGUUGGCCAAUCACAUGACCUUCUGCAGGGGAAAUCCACUCAAGAACCACCUUGUUUGUGUUUGCUAAUAAGUUCUUUCUUUCCAUUAUAAUCUCAUGAAAAGGGAUGGUAACCCCCACAAAGAAAAGAUGGUUCUUUUGGCUAGUGAAGGGCAAUGUUUCAAAAUAAUAUUUGAUUGGAUGGUUUACUGUUAUACAUUUUUU
rnacentral:lncRNA from 1 species